UAAUGUGAUGAUGAAAUGACG
rnacentral:miRNA from 1 species